rnacentral:pre_miRNA from 1 species
AAUAUACUCCCUCCGUUUCGAAUUACUUGUCUUGGAUUUGUCUAGAUACGAAUGUAUCUAGACUUAUUUUAGUGCUAGAUACUUCUGUAUCUAGACAAAUCUAAGACAAGUAAUUCAGAACGGAGGGAGUAUAAA